AGCUCAUCACAGAUGACUUUGUGAAGCAGAAGUAAGUAUCACCUGAGCUAACUGCGGCUCUCACUCGAGCAUCCUUUGUGUGCUGGUCUGGCUGAGAAAGCAGUUCCCUAUCCCAAAUCUUCAACUGGAGGGAUGGGUGCCUCUGACCUGGGAGUGAGUGGCAGUGGGGGGUAUGCGAGUGUGUGGGGAGCCGAAGGCCAGGGCGGUCUUGGGAAAAGGGAGCUCACGUCACCUGAGAACACGGUGUGGGGUGUGAAAACGGCCGCCAUCACCUUGAGCACCUGCCCUGUAGACUGACACAAGAAUUCCUUCUCGACACAGCACCCUAGGCGGCUUCUUCCUGUCAGUCGGAGGUGGCAUGCAAGAUGAAGCUCUCUUUGCUCUUCCUGCUUUCAUUUUGUGCUUUUCCUUGUGUUUUCAUGUUUUGGGUAUCAGUGUUACAUUAAAG
rnacentral:lncRNA from 1 species